rnacentral:rRNA from 1 species
AGUGAACGCUGGCGGCAGGCCUAACACAUGCAAGUCGAACGGCAGCACAGUGGAGCUUGCUCCAUGGGUGGCGAGUGGCGGACGGGUGAGGAAUACAUCGGAAUCUGCCCAGUCGUGGGGAUAACAUAGGGAAACUUAUGCUAAUACCGCAUACGACCUACGGGUGAAAGCGGGGAUCGCAAGACCUCGCGCGAUUGGAUGAGCCGAUGUCCGAUUAGCUAGUUGGCGGGGUAAUGGCCCACCAAGGCGACGAUCGGUAGCUGGUCUGAGAGGAUGAUCAGCCACACUGGAACUGAGACACGGUCCAGACUCCUACGGGAGGCAGCAGUGGGGAAUAUUGGACAAUGGGCGCAAGCCUGAUCCAGCCAUGCCGCGUGAGUGAAGAAGGCCCUCGGGUUGUAAAGCUCUUUUGUCCGGAAAGAAAAGCGCCGGGUUAAUACCCUGGUGUCCUGACGGUACCGGAAGAAUAAGCACCGGCUAACUUCGUGCCAGCA